AAUGAACGCUGGCGGCGUGCUUAACACAUGCAAGUCGAACGAGGCUGAGGGGGCAACUCCUCAGUUUAGUGGCGGACGGGUGAGUAACACGUGGGUAGCCUGCCCGGAAGUGGGGAAUACCUCGGGGAAACUCGAGCUAAUACCGCAUAACAUCUUUAGGACGAUGGUCCUGACGAUCAAAGCGGGGUCGCAAGAUCUCGCGCUACCGGAUGGGCCCGCGCCUGAUUAGCAGUUGGUGGGGUAACGGCUCACCAAGGCUUCGAUCAGUAACCGGCCUGAGAGGGCGAUCGGUCACACCGGAACUGAGACACGGUCCGGACUCCUACGGGAGGCAGCAGUGGGGAAUCUUGCGCAAUGGGCGAAAGCCUGACGCAGCAACGCCGCGUGGAGGAUGAAGUCCCUUGGGACGUAAACUCCUUUCGACCCGGACGAUAAUGACGGUACGGGUGGAAGAAGCCCGCUAACUUCGUGCCAGCAGCCGCAGUAAU
rnacentral:rRNA from 1 species